GUGAAAGAAGGACGUGGCUACCGGCGAAACGUUUCGGGGAGUUGGAAGUAAGCUUUGAUCCGAAAGUAUCCGAAUGAGAAAACUCAAUAACUUCUUACUGAAUCUAUAAGUAAAGAAAGAGCAAACCUAGGGAAUUGAAACAUCUUAGUACCUAGAGGAAAAGAAAGUAAAAACGAUUCCCUGAGUAGUGGCGAACGAAACGGGAACUGCCUAAACUUUUUUUAAAAUUUUUUAAAAAAAGGGUUGUGGGAGAAACAAAGAAAGAAGACACAAGAGAAAAAAGUCAAAAAACCAAAACCCUUUCCUAAAGGGCGUAGGAAUUAGACUUGGCUUGAAGAGCUUAGAGAAAUUAGGUGAAAUAACUGGAAAGUUAUACCAAAGAAAGUGAUAGUCUUGUAACCAAAAAUUUCUUCAAAAAAUUGAUUCCCGAGUAGCAUGGGGCACGUGGAAUCCCGUGUGAAUCUGCGAGGACCACCUCGUAAGGCUAAAUAUUCCUGAAUGUCCGAUAGCGCAUAGUACCGCGAGGGAAAGGUGAAAAGAACCCCGGGAGGGGAGUGAAAUAGAACGUGAAAUUGCAAGCCCACAAACAGAAAGAGAACGACUUAUCGUUUCAUUUCGUGCCUGUUGAAGAAUGUUCCGGCGACUUAUAGUUAGUGGCAGGUUAAGAGAGAGAUCUCGGAGCCAGAGUGAAAGCGAGCUUGAAUAGAGCGUUCGUCACUAGUUAUAGACCCGAACCCGGUUGAUCUAACCAUGGCCAGGAUGAAACUUAGGUAAUACUAAGUGGAGGUCCGAACCGACUGAUGUUGAAAAAUCAGCGGAUGAGUUGUGGUUAGGGGUGAAAUGCCAAUCGAAACCGGAGCUAGCUGGUUCUCCCCGAAAUGUAUUUAGGUGCAGCGGUUAAUAUUAUAGCGUAGGGGUAAAGCACUGUUUCGGUGCGGGCUGGUAAUUCGGUACCAAAUCGAGGCAAACUCUGAAUACUACGUGUACAGUUAACCAGUAAGACUAUGGGGGAUAAGCUUCAUAGUCAAGAGGGAAACAGCCCAGAUCACCAGCUAAGGCCCCUAAAUAAUGACUAAGUGAUAAAGGAAGUGGAAAGGCUUAGACAACCAGGAGGUUUGCUUAGAAGCAGCAAUCCUUUAAAAAGUGCGUAAUAGCUUACUGGUCUAGCAAUUCUGCGCCGAAAACUUAUGGGACUAAGUCAUUUGCCGAAGCUGUGAGAUAAAAAUUUAUUUUUAUCGGUAGGGGAGCGUUCUGUUGUAGGAUGAAGUAUUAGCGAAAGCGGGUAUGGACGAAACAGAAGUGAGAAUGUCGGAUUGAGUAGCGAAAACAUUGGUGAGAAUCCAAUGCUCCGAAAACCUAAGGUUUCCUCCGCAAGGCUCGUCCACGGAGGGUUAGUCAGGUCCUAAGAUGAGGCUGAGAAGCGUAGUCGAUGGACAAUAGGUUCAUAUUCCUAUACUGAUUCUAGCAGGUAUCGAGGGACGAAGAAGGCUAAACUAGCCAGAUAUCGGUUACUGGUUUAAGUAGUGAAGAAUUUUUAAGAAAAUCUCUUCUUAACGAGGUGUUGAGGAUUAGUGAAAAUAGUCUGAGCUGAGAUACGAAUACAAGAUUUUAAAAAUCAAAGUAGUUGAUGUCAUACUUCCAAGAAAAGCUCGCUAUGCCUUAUGUUAGAAUCACCUGUACCUUAAACCGACACAGGUAGGUAGGUAGAGAAUACCAAGGAGCGCGGGAGAACCCUCCUUAAGGAACUCGGCAAAAUAGCUCUGUAACUUCGGAAGAAAGAGUGCCUUUUAGGCUGCAAUAUCAAGUUCCAAGCAACUGUUUAGCAAAAACACAGGUCUCCGCUAAGUGGUAACACGACGUAUGGGGGCUGACGCCUGCCCAGUGCUGGAAGGUUAAAGAAGUCGGUUAGCGCAAGCAAAGCUGGUAACUGAAGCCCCAGUGAACGGCGGCCGUAACUAUAACGGUCCUAAGGUAGCGAAAUUCCUUGUCGGGUAAGUUCCGACCCGCACGAAUGGCGUAAUGAUUUGGAAGCUGUCUCGAGGAGGGACUCGGUGAAAUAGAACUAGCUGUGAAGAUGCGGCUUACCUGCGCCUGGACAGUAAGACCCUAUGAAGCUUUACUGUAUCCUGAAAUUGGAUUUCGAUUUUAUUUGCGCAGAAUAGGUGGGAGACGGAGAGAUUCUUCUUUUGGGAAGAAUGGAGUCAUUAGUGAGAUACCACUCUGAUAAAAUUAAAAUUCUAACUUCAUACCGUAAGCCGGUUGAAAAACAGUUUCAGGUGGGCAGUUUGACUGGGGCGGUCGCCUCCCAAAAGGUAACGGAGGCGUACAAAGGUUUCCUCAGAUCGGUCAGAAAUCGAUCUUCGAGUGCAAAGGCAAAAGGAAGCUUAACUGUGAGACAAACAAGUCGAGCAGAGACGAAAGUCGGUCUUAGUGAUCUGACGAUGCUGUGUGGAAAGGUCGUCACUCAACGGAUAAAAGUUACUCUAGGGAUAACAGGCUGAUCUCCCCCAAGAGUUCCUAUCGACGGGGAGGUUUGGCACCUCGAUGUCGGCUCAUCGCAUCCUGGGGCGGAAGUACGUCCCAAGGGUUGGGCUGUUCGCCCAUUAAAGCGGUACGUGAGCUGGGUUCAGAACGUCGCGAGACAGUUCGGUCCAUAUCCGGCGUGGGCGUUGAGUAUUGAGAGUGACCUUUCUCUAGUACGAGAGGACCGAGAAAGAUGUACCGCUGGUGUACCAGUUCUUGUGCCAACAGGAAAUGCUGGGUAGCUAAGUACAGUUAGGAUAACCGCUGAAAGCAUCU
rnacentral:rRNA from 1 species